rnacentral:rRNA from 1 species
CCUACGGGAGGCUGCAGUGAGGAAUAUUGGUCAAUGGACGAGAGUCUGAACCAGCCAAGUAGCGUGAAGGAUGACUGCCCUAUGGGUUGUAUACUUCUUUUAUAUGGGAAUAAAAUGUUCCACGUGUGGGAUUUUGUAUGUACCAUAUGAAUAAGGAUCGGCUAACUCCGUGCCAGCAGCCGCGGUAAUACGGAGGAUCCGAGCGUUAUCCGGAUUGAUUGGGGUUAAAGGGAGCGUAGGUGGAUUGUUAAGUCAGUUGUGAAAGUUUGCGGCUCAACCGUAAAAUUGCAGUUGAAACUGGCAGUCUUGAGUACAGUAGAGGUGGGCGGAAUUCGUGGUGUAGCGGUGAAAUGCUUAGAUAUCACGAAGAACUCCGAUUGCGAAGGCAGCUCACUGGACUGCAACUGACACUGAGGCUCGAAAGUGUGGGUAUCAAACAGGAUUAGAUACCCGUGUAGUC